ensembl:lncRNA
GCAUGCGCCACAACAUAGACAGCAGUACGCAUGCGCGAGCCGCGAGACGGCAGUACGCAUGCGCGAGGUGGCAGCAGAUACCGUGGAAACAACAACUCUGCCGCCUUUUAGCGGACUGCCUGGGACCGUGGGCGCGCAUCCCCUCCUCUCUUUUUUUUCUUGGCAGAGGAUGGUGGGAGGAAGAAGGGGAGACGACAAAGAAAAGCAAGGAAAACUUCGACAAACCCUCCAACCCCGUGCUAAAUGCUUUGGUAUACCUGUAAAUAAAUGAAUACAUAACCAG